ACGAACGCUGGCGGCGCGCUUAACACAUGCAAGUCGCGCGAUGAAAUUUCGACAGAUCCCUUCGGGGUGAAGAUGAAAUGGAUUAGCGGCGGACGGGUGAGUAACACGUGAGUAACCUGCCUUUGACAUUGGGAUAGCCUCGGGAAACUGGGAUUAAUACCAAAUGACACUAACUGAUCACAUGAUCAAUUAGUCAAAGAAAUUCGGUCAAAGAUGGACUCGCGGCUGAUUAGCUAGUUGGUGAGGUAACGGCCCACCAAGGCGACGAUCAGUAGCCGGCCUGAGAGGGUGAUCGGCCACAUUGGAACUGAGACACGGUCCAAACUCCUACGGGAGGCAGCAGUGGGGGAUAUUGCACAAUGGGGGAAACCCUGAUGCAGCGACGCCGCGUGAGCGAAGAAGGCCUUCGGGUCGUAAAGCUCUUUUAUGAGGGAAGAUAAUGACGGUACCUCAAGAAAAAGCCCCGGCUAACUACGUG
rnacentral:rRNA from 1 species